AAGCGUGAUUUAAGGAUUACAGAGUGGCGAUUGAGAACGGAGUAAGAGCAGGUGGGUAAAGACUCACACUCACGCAUUGAUUUAUUCCCCUCUGGAGCAGGGUUUAAAGGGCUCAUCUGGUCUACAAGGCCCACCUGUGAGUAACAUUAGUCCACCACGGUAGCCCCUCGUGGGUUCGUCGGAGUAACAGAGAUUGGGGAUCGGCUGUGGGGGGCUGCACUAGGCUGCUGGAGCUGUUUGGCCGAGGCUACACAGAACAAACUGUAGAAAAUAACCGAUGCAGCACUGCUAUUAACAACUAACCGUCCUGUCUCUUCUUUUCCCCAACCACAUAUCUGUCUUCUUUCUUUUCCUUAUCUCCCUGUCUUCUUGUCUAUUAUUUAUCUCUACUGCCCCUUUACACUUCUCCCGGACCAUCACAACCCCUCUCUCUCUCUCUCCCCUGUGUAUUCUUUCCUUCCCUGUUCUCCCAUCCUCUUUCCUUUAGGGCUUGCCUGGGUUCCCAGGAGUGUUGGGCAGACCGGGAAACCCCGGAGAACAAGGAAACCGAGGACCGACUGGACCGAUGGGUCCAAAUGGACCUCCAGGACCACCAGGUGUGAAGGUCAGUGUAC
ensembl:lncRNA